rnacentral:rRNA from 1 species
AAAGGGGGAAGGAGAAGGUUUUGUGCGUUGGAGACCAGCAAGGGUAAGGACCGGUAGCCCUCCUCCGUCGUCUCGUCGCCAGUCGCCGAUCCUUCCAUCCCGCGUUCUCUUCCUCUUCCACCCCGCAUCCUCUUCGUUCUCCCCUGUGCUGACGUUCGUGCGGUGGUCGGUACAUAGAGCUGAAGAGCUCCCUUCUAACCCACCCUCCUCUUCCGCCGCCGCUGCCAAAACUAAACACUAGACGAUGUCCGCGGCGGUGUCCCUACCUACGGUCCUAGACUCCCUCGUCCUUGGUUGCAGCAGCAGACCCUCCGUCGGUUCCUACCUCCAGUGAGAAUCAAGUAGAAGGAGAAACGAGGCAGAGGACUACCGACGGUACCUCCAACGAUAAUUCACUCGUCCAUCAAACAGUAACAAGCACUUAGUAGACAAAUCAGAAAGAGAAGUGAAUUAGCUACAAGUCGAAAUAUUAUUCAUUUGAUACCAUACCACUCAUGGAGAGUUAUGAGCUACCGAAGGGAAUAAAUCUGAUGACUAAAUAAAAGCUUAUUAUCCGGGGACAAGGUCAAGUUUUCCCUUAGUACAUCGUCGUCGUUAAUUAUACGAAAAGUCAAAAUAAUAUUCAUUUAAAGUUUUAUUUACACAGUAUUGUAUUCAUAACUCAGAUACUAACAUAUAUACAUAGCUUGGAACUACUUGACCAAACCAACUAUAAUAAAAUUUAAAUCAAAGUCUAUGAUGGCUUAAAGACUAAAAGCCAAUGUAUAUUAAUACUAUAUACAACGUAGUAGAAACACAAGUCUGAAGUCUAUACAGUCGUUCGGUGAAAGCUCGGAACGAGUAAAUGUAGUCAUAAACAAAAGUGUAAUCACGUGGUACCAGAAAAACAGAAAGUAAAGAUGGAUUUCUCGUUGUUAGUCCACUGAAGGGAAAGGAGGAAAAGAGAACAAAAUUUUGAGAAUUACAAGUUUGGUAACGUUGAAGCAUUAGUAGGUUAGAAAGUGGAAACGUCUGAAAGAUACUCUUGAAGUCCAUAGCCACGCUGUUUGCCCGAUUGGGUAUAUUGUACUAACGAACCUCGACUGUAUCUCCCACCGCUCUACGUCUCCUCGGGAUCCAUGUCCACUUCCCUCUGCGACCCACCGUCCAGCUCGUUGAUACCAACCCCACCGACACACUUCUUCUCUCUCCAUCCUUUCCUUCACAACCCGAUCGACUACGAUGGCCCUACUUAGUCCCUCUAAUCUCCUCUCUUCAACUCUCUCUAAAGCCGCUACAAAUCCUCUUCUCCUAAAGAGAUCGAUACGGUUGGGUUCUACACACUACGAGUUCUUCCAUACACUACGAUUGCGUAUAUGUUUCUUGCUCCACACAACAAUUAAACCACCUGUCACGGGAAGAAUUUUAUUUAUACACCACGGCAUCUGUUGACUUCUUAAUAGUGAAUAUCAAGGCAAUCCAAACAAUGGAGGCAACAAGCCUAUGAAUUUACAAAGUGACUCCUAAAAAAUUAGGUAGGCCGGUAGUCGAAUAUGGACCUACAUGGAAGUACAAGAUGUUUAGAUAAUUAAAUAGUAUCCUGUUCGUCUGCUACCUUCAUCAUAUCAAAGAACUUAAUAAUGGUACCAGGCGGUUUAAAAAAUUAAUGACUUAGUCGUAUUCAAAAUACAAAGAGACAACAUUAAGAAGACAUCCGACAAAAGACACAGAGACGUUCACGGAAAAACGAGUCUACGAAAAAAAUGUCACGUAGUUCACCUCAAAUCAAGUAAGUGGAGAGGUGUAGAGGAGUAAAAGUACUAACAAGUCUAACGAUUGGCUGCCUGAUCUUCGUACGGGUGGAAAGACAAGGAAAAUCAAGGUUUAUUAGAAAAAAAAAGCUUACUUACGUACGAAUAUCAUAACUUUAUAUAAAAAAGAUAUGAACCAUCUAGUAUUUGGCGGUUUAGUGCGACGAUGACCACACAAAUGACGAGGUAUUAACUCAGUCAAAACACACGUAAUAGACUUGUUACAGUUGCGACGGAAGGAAGACUGUAUGAUAAAGCCGACAACUAACUACAACGCCGACGACGCCGACCACCACGAGACCCGUGCGUUCCCCUCGCGCCGUGUGUUUGAGGCGGACGAGUUCUGCAACGCGGUGUUGGUACGGCCGGAGCCACAGUCCGCGUUGCUAACCAAACGUGAUACCGCUUGAUCUUAAGGGGUCGCGUGUGAACGAGGUCAAAUAGGAGAUGCCGUUACCAGCGAUGAAGACGCUACGGGCACUCUCCCUACACCUGACGUAGCUCCUGAUGAUGCUACCGCUCGUUUUGCUCGUGCCGGACCUCUUGGAGCUACUACCCGUCUACUCGUCAACGAGAUAUCACCGUCCAGGAGCACCGACGUCAUGUUACUGUACUCUACACGAUCUAUGUCACGAUUCUAACGUACAAAUAAACCCGUCUUUAGUGUAUAAACUGGACUCCAGGUUUAGUUUAGUG